CGGAAGGGCCUUCGGGGUACUCGAGUGGCGAACGGGUGAGUAACACGUGGGCAAUCUGCCCUGCACACCGGGAUAAGCCUGGGAAACUGGGUCUAAUACCGGAUAGGACCACUUGGCGCAUGCCUUGUGGUGGAAAGCUUUUGCGGUGUGGGAUGGGCCCGCGGCCUAUCAGCUUGUUGGUGGGGUGACGGCCUACCAAGGCGACGACGGGUAGCCGGCCUGAGAGGGUGUCCGGCCACACUGGGACUGAGAUACGGCCCAGACUYCUACGGGAGGCAGCAGUGGGGAAUAUUGCACAAUGGGCGCAAGCCUGAUGCAGCGACGCCGCGUGGGGGAUGACGGCCUYCGGGUUGUAAACCUCUUUCACCAUCGACGAAGGUCCGGGUUUUCUCGGAUUGACGGUAGGUGGAGAAGAAGCACCGGCCAACUACGUGCCCAGCAGCCGCGGUAAUACGUAGGGUGCGAGCGUUGUCCGGAAUUACUGGGCGUAAAGAGCUCGUAGGUGGUUUGUCGCGUUGUUCGUGAAAUCUCACGGCUUAACUGUGAGCGUGCGGGCGAUACGGGCAGACUAGAGUACUGCAGGGGAGACUGGAAUUCCUGGUGUAGCGGUGGAAUGCGCAGAUAUCAGGAGGAACACCGGUGGCGAAGGCGGGUCUCUGGGCAGUAACUGACGCUGAGGAGCGAAAGCGUGGGGAGCGAACAGGAUUAGAUACCCUGGUAGUCCACGCCGUAAACGGUGGGUACUAGGUGUGGGUUUCCUUCCUUGGGAUCCGUGCCGUAGCUAACGCAUUAAGUACCCCGCCUGGGGAGUACGGCCGCAAGGCUAAAACUCAAAGGAAUUGACGGGGGCCCGCACAAGCGGCGGAGCAUGUGGAUUAAUUCGAUGCAACGCGAAGAACCUUACCUGGGUUUGACAUGCACAGGACGCGUCUAGAGAUAGGCGUUCCCUUGUGGCCUGUGUGCAGGUGGUGCAUGGCUGUCGUCAGCUCGUGUCGUGAGAUGUUGGGUUAAGUCCCGCAACGAGCGCAACCCUUGUCUCAUGUUGCCAGCGGGUAAUGCCGGGGACUCGUGAGAGACUGCCGGGGUCAACUCGGAGGAAGGUGGGGAUGACGUCAAGUCAUCAUGCCCCUUAUGUCCAGGGCUUCACACAUGCUACAAUGGCCGGUACAAAGGGCUGCGAUGCCGCGAGGUUAAGCGAAUCCUUUUAAAGCCGGUCUCAGUUCGGAUCGGGGUCUGCAACUCGACCCCGUGAAGUCGGAGUCGCUAGUAAUCGCAGAUCAGCAACGCUGCGGUGAAUACGUUCCCGGGCCUUGUACACACCGCCCGUCACGUCAUGAAAGUCGGUAACACCCGAAGCCAGGGGCCUAACCCU
rnacentral:rRNA from 1 species